GUGCUCCUUUUAGCAGCACUGUACUAAGAUUGGAACAACGUAGCAAUUAGCACGGCCUCUGGCCAAGGAUGAUAUACAACUUUGCAAAGCAUUAAAUAUUAAA
rnacentral:snRNA from 1 species